AUAAUUUGUGUGUUUUUUUGUUUUUGUUUUUUUCUAAUUUCAGGAAGAGGAUUUACUCGCACUUCUCCAGGAUGAAGAAACUGCUGAAGACAAAAUGAUUCAGACAGAUAUCGGCGAGGAAGAUUUGGAGAGGGUGUUGGAUCGUGCCGACCUCAUUGCUGGUUGUUUGGAUGAUGAGGAAAAGCCUAAUGCUGCUGUUUACCCUCUUAAAGGACCUGGUUGGGAAGUGGUGAUACCAACAGCAACUGGAGGCAUGCUCUCCACUCUCAAUAGUUAAGGAUCCUUUCCGUGGAUUCGGCACAGUGGAGUCUCUCACCUUUUGAAUUUCAAACUGUUUGGGUCUUGUCCCUAACGAUCGAAGAGUUAACAGUCAUGAAGCUAUUGUUUGAUUCAUUAUGUUUCAUGUGCAUCCAGAAUCCUCAAAUGGAUUUGCAGGCCAUGGAUAGAUGUCAUAGAAUUGGCCAAACCAAGCCUGUUCAUGUUUAUAGGCUUGCAACUGCUCAAUCUGUUGAGGUACUUAACUGAUGAUCCUGGUCUUUUGGCUUUCUGAAAGUCAAUGCUGUAUUUAGCAUGGUAAAAUGUUACGUGUAUGUUAACAGGGUCGCAUAUUGAAAAGAGCUUUCAGUAAGCUGAAGCUUGAGCAUGUUGUGAUUGGAAAAGGGCAGUUUCAUCAAGAACGGACCAAGUCUAAUUGUAUAGAUGCCUUGGAGGUUUGAUACUUUAUUUUUAGCUGCUUUUGGUGCUUACUGUUUGUUGACAUGGCAUUAUCUUCCAUGGUAUGCUGAAAUUUCAACGGAGGACUUCUUAGUGAUGCCAUUUCUUAUCUCUCUGUUUUAGCCUAACUGAACUCAUCAGCUUUCCAAUGGGCAUUUAGUAUGCAGAAGAUAAAACAUUGAUAUAUGGUACUGUUCAGGAUUUUUUCCCCUUUAUCACUCAAUUGUAACAUUAGCUUUAUAAUAGAUUUUACUAGUGGUUACUACUAUAACCACAUUUAAAAAAAAAUGAAAAAAAUGAAAAACAAUCUCUAUGAUGAUUUUAUUCCUGUGGAGAUCAAGUGUAGGACUCUAAAGUUGGUGAGUUGACUUAGUAUUUCCUUCAUAAUUCACGUGGAUAUUUGUAGUGGGAUGCUAUGAUACUGAGUUAUAAUGUCUCUUGUUGCCUCUUUCUAUUUCCUGGACAUUGAGAUAGCUUCCAGAUUUGAGAGAAGGAAUUUAAAUAUUGUGCAUGCCUAAAUGUAAGAUCGCUGUUGUGAUAUGAUCUUUUUAACUCCUCACGUUCAUAAUUUGUGUGUUUUUUUGUUUUUGUUUUUUUCUAAUUUCAGGAAGAGGAUUUACUCGCACUUCUCCAGGAUGAAGAAACUGCUGAAGACAAAAUGAUUCAGACAGAUAUCGGCGAGGAAGAUUUGGAGAGGGUGUUGGAUCGUGCCGACCUCAUUGCUGGUUGUUUGGAUGAUGAGGAAAAGCCUAAUGCUGCUGUUUACCCUCUUAAAGGACCUGGUUGGGAAGUGGUGAUACCAACAGCAACUGGAGGCAUGCUCUCCACUCUCAAUAGUUAAGGAUCCUUUCCGUGGAUUCGGCACAGUGGAGUCUCUCACCUUUUGAAUUUCAAACUGUUUGGGUCUUGUCCCUAACGAUCGAAGAGCUAUGUGCAAUUUUUGGGAGCAGAGAAAUGAUUGAAAUGCUCUUUUCCUGCGGACACUAUAAAGGGCUGCAUUUUCCGGAGAUAGCCAGUCCACUUUUGUAC
rnacentral:lncRNA from 1 species